UGCACAUUUUUGGCUAAAUGUGACCAUUUUGAAAAAAAAUAAUUUGAAAAUUUGGUAUUGUUUAUAUCUUUCUCAAGUUAGAUUUUAUGUGACUUUUUUUUCUGUGUAUAUUUUUGGUUACAAUGCUAAAGAUUAAAACUUAAAAAUCUUCUGUUGCAAUUACUUUUAGGUUAGGGUCAAAUUUAUGCUAAAUUGACACAGGCACUCGUCUCAGAUCCCCCCUAAUAUAUUAAGGUAUAUAGGAAUUUUUUUUCUGAGACAAGUGCCUGUGUAAAUUGACUGGACUAAAGGUACAGUCCAUUCUAUUGAAAAUGAUAAUUUCAUAUAAGUUACACAGGACUGAUGUAAAACUUAUUUUUACUAGAGCUCAUCAUUGAUCUACUCAGAUUAGAUCUGAACAGGAAUAGUUACAGAUAAACGCAAAAUUCUGAUGAUUAUUUUAAAAUUUUAAAACCAUUUUAUCAACAGUGAGCAAUGGUGAGCAAUAAGUUUUGUGGUCUGAUAUGUUGACAAAAUGGUAAACUCUAAUUGUUUUAAUGUUACAAAGCUGAUUUAUAAAAGCAAGCAACAAUAAUAAUACAAACAACCUUUUUUAGCUGAAUCAAGUUCAGUAUCAAAGUUCCUUAAAGGUAACCUUAUUGGAACAACCCCACUUCAAAAGUUAAAGUUAUCUGAUGGAAAUAAUCUCAUUCCAGAACCAUUCUAGCAUGUUUACAAUAGAAAACAGAGGAUUUCCAAUACUGACUUGAUGCAUUAUAAAAAUAGAUAUUGGCAUUACUUAAUCAUAUUAAUACUGUCGAAGCUGUACAGUGGAUUUAUAAACAAUAGAACCAAAUGUCUGCCUCAAUAUGACCGCCCCAUAAUAAGUGUUCUAUGCUUUCUGGUUCUUCCUUGCAAAAUGUACAUAAAUUACACUGUACACGGUUCAUCUUUAAAAGUAAAGUAUCAGUACCUAAAAUAUGGUGAAUAAUUCGGUAUUGAAACUAACAGAGCUUGGUAUUUUUUGAAAUUUUAGUGACACAGUUAUGGAUUUUUUUCC
rnacentral:lncRNA from 1 species